GCGACGGCGGUAGGGCUGAGGGGUUCGGCCUCCCUCAUCACCAAACGGCCGAUAUGGGUGGGCCAGUAACAUAUAAUAGCUCUUGACAUGCAUAGGCUUAUCUCAAACCGGAAGUGAUGAGGACUUGACCUACGGGGUCGCCACAGCCCCUAGCUCCUUCGGAGGAAGGAGUCAAGGGGUUAAACUUUAGAACCGGGUCAGGCCCGGAAGGGAGCAGCCCUAAUAAAGGGUGGCGACGUUCGUAGUAAUCAAGCCUGAAUGGAAGGUUUGAGAUACCCUAUAUAUGUUAAGGGUUAGUAUGUGGGCGCCGUCGC
rnacentral:SRP_RNA from 1 species